rnacentral:rRNA from 1 species
CAGUAGCCGCGGGAAUACGUAGGUGGCGAGCGUUGUCCGGAAUCAUUGGGCGUAAGGGGAGCGCGGGCGGGCAUGUAAGUCUUUCUUAAAAGUUCGGGGCUCAACCCCGUGAUGGGAAAGAAACUACAUGUCUUGAGUACAGGAGAGGAAAGCGGAAUUCCCAGUGUAGCGGUGAAAUGCGUAGAUAUUGGGAGGAACACCAGUGGCGAAGGCGGCUUUCUGGACUGUAACUGACGCUGAGGCUCGAAAGCCAGGGGAGCGAACGGGAUUAGAGACCCGUGUAGUCCCUGUCUCUUAUACA